rnacentral:antisense_RNA from 23 species
UUCUAUGGGCGGGCCAAGGCGGGGAGACCUUCGAGUCUGCCGGUUUCUUUGAUUUCCGGUUCGCCAACCCUGCCUUGUGCCCGCUCACCCCA